rnacentral:rRNA from 1 species
GACGAACGCUGGCGGCGCGCCUAACACAUGCAAGUCGAACGGAGCUUAGAGAGCUUGCUUUUUAAGCUUAGUGGCGAACGGGUGAGUAACGCGUGAGUAACCUGCCCUAGAGUGGGGGACAACAGUUGGAAACGACUGCUAAUACCGCAUAAGCCCACGGUGCCGCAUGACACUGAGGGAAAAGGAUUUAUUCGCUUUAGGAUGGACUCGCGUCCAAUUAGCUAGUUGGUGAGGUAACGGCCCACCAAGGCGACGAUUGGUAGCCGGACUGAGAGGUUGAACGGCCACAUUGGGACUGAGACACGGCCCAGACUCCUACGGGAGGCAGCAGUGGGGGAUAUUGCACAAUGGGGGAAACCCUGAUGCAGCGACGCCGCGUGGAGGAAGAAGGUUUUCGGAUUGUAAACUCCUGUCGUUAGGGACGAUAAUGA